CAAGAUCGGAUCAGUCAGAUCACGAUCGAACGCAAUACGUCACAGAGACUUUAAGUCCUGAUGAUAUGGCGAGCCUCGCCGUCCACGUUUCUCUUUCUUCAAGAAGACAAAAAACCGCGUCGACCGGUUCCCGAAUGGGCCCGUAGCUCAGUUGGUUAGAGCACACGCUUGAAAGCGGGG
rnacentral:misc_RNA from 1 species